AGAUUGAACGCUAGCGGGAUGCUUUACACAUGCAAGUCGAACGGCAGCGCGGACUUCGGUCUGGCGGCGAGUGGCGAACGGGUGAGUAAUAUAUCGGAACGUGCCCAGUAGCGGGGGAUAACUACG
rnacentral:rRNA from 1 species